rnacentral:lncRNA from 1 species
AUGUGCUCCCAGUUCUCUGCUCAAAGCCCAGUCUGUGAUGGACCUCAGGUACUCCAACCAGAGCCUGCUGGCAGUUCUGCUUCUGCAACUGUGAAGAGUCAGUCUGCCUCACUCCUUGGAAACAACCAGGUGAGGGAGGAAUUUGUUAUUAUUAUCCCACUUGAAAGAUGAGGAAACUGAGGAAAAUGGAGAUUAAAUGACUUGUCCA